rnacentral:rRNA from 1 species
UACGUAGGGUGCAAGCGUUAAUCGGAAUUACUGGGCGUAAAGCGUGCGCAGGCGGUUUGGUAAGACAGAUGUGAAAUCCCCGGGCUUAACCUGGGAACUGCGUCGGAUACUGGAUGGCUUGAAUCCGGGAGAGGGAUGCGGAAUUCCAGGUGUAGCGGUGAAAUGCGUAGAUAUCUGGAGGAACACCGGUGGCGAAGGCGGCAUCCUGGACCGGCAUUGACGCUGAGGAGCGAAAGCCAGGGGAGCAAAGCGGG